GAAAAAUUAGUUAAAUAAUAACAUUAUCUUGUCAAGAUAAAAUUAUUCAUUAAAGAAUAUUUUUUU
rnacentral:tRNA from 1 species